rnacentral:lncRNA from 1 species
UACUUUUUAUAGAUAUAAAAAAAUUGAAUGGAAUAGAUAAUAAGAAAAUUGCAAAAAAGGGGAACUAAUUAAAAAUAUUUGAUUUUUCUUUUCCCAUUCUCAUCGCCUUUCUAUCCUUCUAAUCGAACUUGAAAUUGGAUUCAAAAGAAAACUAUGGUGAAAAUAAAAGAAAUACCUCUUUCAGAAUACCCUUUAAUUUUACUUUAAUUUAAAAAGUAG